UCUCGAUAGCGUAAAAGUUAACUCAAAUGGAAUUGGAACGUUUGUUUACGUUUGCCGCUAGAGGCGCUGUUCCAACUGCAUACAAAUUUCAGUUAACUUUUACGCUAUCGA
rnacentral:pre_miRNA from 9 species